GGCAAGAAAGCGAAUCUCCCAGCUGGUGCAGAGCCCCACACGGUGCCUUACUGACACACAUCCAGAGAUUCGAGUCCCCUGAACCCGCGUGGGUGACUUUGAAGCAGAUUCCCGCCUGGCACAGCGCACUCUCCAGCCGCUCACGUGAAAUCCAUCAAGGCAAAGUCACACCCUACAGCCAGAGCAAUUCGGGAAGCUUGACUCUCCCACAAACAAGACAAGAUCUCAUGUGUCCUGGGCUGUUCCUGAGUUCCUGAUAGUCUUGCCUCCACCAGACCCUCCCCUACCGCCCACUCAUUGCUAGAAUUAUAGGUGUAUGGACACUGUGGACACAUGUCCCUUGAAGUCUGGCCUCCACCAGUACAUUGCCUGGGUUAAAUUCCACACAUGUCUGGCCCUGAAGCCAGUACUGUGUGCUUUCUUCAGCUAAAGCAAGCCCCCCUCCAUCUCUUCUGUAGCUUCCUAGGUCCUGGGCUCAUCAAGCAAUUGAAAUCUUUCAAAAUGAUCGAUCAGGGCUGAUCCACUCGAGAUUUUACUUGUGGUUGAUGUUAUUUUUCAAGUCAACGACCAAUUACAGUAACAGCAUUGAUUAAACACCGUCUCUCUGCCCUGCAUGGAAAUGCCAUCUUUCCUGUGCUUUACCUCAGAAUGGACCGGGCUUGGUUGCACACGGCUUUGAGCCCAGCACGCUGAAGACAAACAGGUGGAACUCUGUGAGUCUAAGGCCAGCCUAGUCUACAAAGAGAGUUCCAGAACAGCCAGGAGUACAUAAUGAAACCCUGUGUCAAAACACAACCAACAAACAGCGUGGGUCUUGAAUGGCUUUUAUACGUCUUGGCCUCCUGGUCUA
rnacentral:lncRNA from 1 species